AACGAACGCUGGCGGCGCGUUUUAAGCAUGCAAGUCGAGCGGCAGGGGGGCCUCGGUCCCCCGAGAGCGGCGGACGGGUGAGUAACACGUGGACAACCUGCCCCCCGGUUCGGGAUAGCCCAGGGAAACCUGGAUCAAUACCGGAUGCGAGGGCGGCCGCACAAGCGGCCGUCGGGAAAGGCGCUUCGGCGCCGCCGGGGGAUGGGUCCGCGUCCCAUUAGCUAGACGGUGGGGUAACGGCCCACCGUGGCGAUGAUGGGUAGCCGGCCUGAGAGGGUGGACGGCCACAUUGGAACUGAGACACGGUCCAGACUCCUACGGGAGGCAGCAGCUAAGAAUCUUCCGCAAUGGGCGAAAGCCUGACGGAGCGACGCCGCGUGAACGAAGAAGGCCGUGAGGUUGUAAAGUUCUUUUCGGGAGGGGUAACGAGGCUGCCAGGCAAUGGGCGCCGAUGACGUGAAUCCCGGAAUAAGCCCCGGCUAACUACGUG
rnacentral:rRNA from 1 species